GCCGGUACACCGGGGUACCGCACCGGUACACGGCUGGGAGUACGCAGCGGGUUCAACCGCGUCGGCUCCGCGCCCGGAGCAGUGACGUCCUUCAGUUCGUUCAGUGGGGGAUCUAACAGCGGUUUCAACACGUUCAACAAUGGAAAUCCACUAGGAGGCUUCUUCAACACCCAGCUGCAGAACAUCCAAAACUCCUUCUCUCAAGGAUCCUCUUUCAGCUCCAGCAGCUCCUCGUUCCCCUCUCGCGGUUCCUCGUUCCCCUCUCGCGGCUCGUCGGCUGUCUCUCGCCCCUCUCGUCUCUCGAACUCAGAAGAUUCUGACAGUUCCGACGAUUGAGCACCGGCUGCAUAUGUACAACUGUCGCAGGUCCUCGGGAAAGGAGAUUCGAAAAGUUCUCAAUGAGACUGUUCCUGAGGGAGCCGAGCGUUUUGACUUGCUAUGUGGCGUUAGUGGGGGCAUGACGAUUAAAUCGUUGAAAAUAAUUAAAAUUAUGCUCAUCACUCGUAGAGGUGCUGCUGAAAACCAAUGUGCUAUAGAUUUCGUCAUUAGUUGUCAUUGCAUCGUGCCCACGACUCAAGGAGAAAUAUGUGUACCAAUGACAAUAAACUGGUUUCAUCUUGAUAGCGUGAUAAUGAAUAAUAAUAUGUUGGACAAUAAAAGUAUACUUGAACGUGAA